rnacentral:misc_RNA from 1 species
AACGCACAUUGCGCCUUCUGGUAUUCCGGAAGGCAUGCUUGUUUGAGUAUCAGUAACAACCUCAGCCUCUUCCCUCUCUCCUUCAUACUUGCUGGUGGUGGGAAAAGCCGGAUUUGAGCAUGUCCCUAAAUCCAAUUGGAUUGGGGAUGCUUGAAAUACAGGUUCGGCCGGACGGAUCCCCUGGGCUACAAGCAUUUUCAUACUUAAUCCCGUCAAACGGAUUAUUUCCUUUGCUGCAGCCAACAGUCACAAAAUGGGGAUGAUCGUCGGUGUUCGACUGAUGCAGGAAGUUGGACAGAUCCAUGAUCUGCUCUGCUAACCCGAUCUCAAAUCAAGUAAGACUACCCGCUGAACUUAA